GUAGGUGAACCUGCGGAAGGAUCAUUAACAAAUGCUCAAAGUCGGCCCUUCCGGUGCUGGUGUUCACACUCGUGCACGUUUGGGUCGCAAAUCCACACACCUGUGCAUACCUGACUCUGAGCGCCUUACCCUUGCAUUGAGGGAGUCCUGAUCUUGGUCAGACUGGCACUCGAGUAUUUUUCAUACUCUGAAUGUAAAGGAAUGU
rnacentral:misc_RNA from 1 species